UUUAAGUUUAUUUAAAUUGUACCUGAGUGUACUUAGAAAAAGUAUACUAAAUUGCAAAUACUUAUAGUGGUAAUUUAGUGUACUUAUAAAAAGUGUACUUUAUUGUAAGUGUAUUGUAAUUUGUACCUAAGUGUACUUCUGAAAAGUACACUCAUUUUCAAGUAUUUUGGAAUUCACUAUUAAAUUACUUUUUUAAAGCGUAAUUUAAUUUCACUUCAUUAGAAGUGUAUUGAAGUAUACUUCCGUAAAGUUCACUUUAAUUUAAGUUUAAUUUAAUUUUAAGCUGUAUUUCAGUAUACUUAGAAAAAGUAUACUAAGUUGCACAUACGUAUUUUAGUGUACUUCUGAAAAGUACACUUUGUUUCAAGUCCUUUGUAAUACACUAUUAAAAUGCUUUAUUAAAGUAUACUUAAAUUUCCCUUUAUUAGUAGUGUAUUUAAGUAUACUUCCUUACAGUUCACUUUAAUGCAAGUUAAUUUUAAGCUGUAUUUCAGUGUACUUAGAAAAAGUAUACUAAAUUGCAAAAACUUAUAGUUGUCAUUCAGUGUGAUUCUGAAAAGUACACUUAGUAAUACACUAUUAAAAUGCUUUAUUUUUAGUAUACUUUAAUUUCACUUCAUUAGAAGUUUAUAUAAGUAUAUUUCCAUAAAUUCCACUUGUAAGUUGAUGGAAUGGGUUAUUUCAUACAUCAUCACAACCAAAGUGUUGAAUUAAUCAAGAAAUUACAGAUAAAUAAUACUGAAAUGGCUACUUUUACUAGCUCCAACGACUAACUAUUAAAGAAAAUGCAAUAAUGAGGGCUACACCAAGGUUGCUCCUCAGUAGCUUUAUUAUAUAUGUUAUAUAUGUCAGACGUUUUAAAGUUAGGUGUUGUUGAAUGUAUGUUUGUAUUAAUAUUUAAAUUAAAGUUUUGGUUUGUACAAUUUAAGUGUUUUUUGUCAUGGAACAAAAUAGCACCCAUGGAGUGUACAAAAUGGUACCAGAAAGAAGUGCAUGUGAAGUAUAAUAGUGAUGUAUUGUAAGUAUAUUUCUGUAGUAUUUAUAAAGUACUUAGCAGUAUAACAGUAUUGUACUUAAAAUACCCUUAAUAUACGCUUCCACUUUACAUUAUAUUAUAAUAACUAUACUUUAAGUACAUGCCUUUGAUGCUUAAAUUGUGAUAAAAAUGUACUAUAAAUCAAUAUUAAAUACUUGUAUUAACAUAAUUGUCAUGGCCACUGUUGUGGUGCUGUGUAUUCUGCCCCUGUGUUGGCCACGCCCCCUGUCUGUCUCUGCCUUGCCUGCCACUCAACUGCUCACAUACACGUGGUUUCCCUGCAGUCAUCGCCAGAUCGUACUUCGUGUUACCGUGUUUUUGGAUUGUCACCUCCAGCCUGCAGUCUUCACUCCCUCCAGCCCGAUACGCCCCAGUCCAACCAACCUCCUGCUUCACUCCUAGCUGAACUAAAUAAACCUGUUCACCGUCACUCCAACUCCUGUCCUGUCUCCUGCUCUUGGGUCCAGCAGCUAACGCUACCCUAACAAUAAUGGCACACUUAAAAAGUACUAAAUAUAGUCAGAAUGUGUAUUAGCUUCUCUGCGGUGCACAGCUAGCAGGGUAGUGCUAGCACAGCUUUUGUUUAUCUUUAUUUUUCCCUUUUAUUAUUGUUAUUUAGUUAACUUGUUAAAGAGUGUGACUAAAAAUAAUUCUCUGGGGUCAGAUGAUCCAAAUUUGAAUAUAAAUGUUACGAUGAAGAGAAACUGUUUGAAAAUGUUGUUUAAGAUGUUGUUAAAGAUGUAUUUAAAUGUACUUUAUUAUGCACAUUUUCCCUGUCAUGCCGUGCAUGUUAAAAAUAAACUUUUCUACCUCAA